rnacentral:rRNA from 1 species
UACGUAGGGGGCAAGCGUUGUCCGGAAUCAUUGGGCGUAAAGCGCGCGUAGGCGGCCCGGUAAGUCCGCUGUAAAAGUCCAGGGCUCAACCCUGGAAAGCCGGUGGAUACUGUCGGGCUCGAGUCCGGAAGAGGCGAGUGGAAUUCCUGGUGUAGCGGUGGAAUGCGCAGAUAUCGGGAAGAACACCCAUGGCGAAGGCAGCUCUCUGGGACGGUACUGACGCUGAGACGCGAAAGCGUGGGGAGCGAACAGG